rnacentral:pre_miRNA from 1 species
AUUUCCCCUUGAGUUCCCUUUAACGCUUCAUUGUUCAUAAUUGGUUGUAUACUAUCUACCGAUAAAUCAAUAUAAUGAACACUGACGUGUUUGGGGGGACUCUAGGUGGUAU